rnacentral:rRNA from 1 species
UACGUGAGGGGCGAACGUUGUUCGGAAUUACUGGGCGUAAAGGGCGCGUAGGCGGUCUUGCAAGUCCUGUGUGAAAUCCCUCGGCUCAACUGAGGAACUGCACAGGAAACUGCUUGGCUUGAGUUCGGGAGAGGGAAGCGGAAUUCCGGGUGUAGCGGUGAAAUGCGUAGAUAUCCGGAGGAACACCGGUGGCGAAGGCGGCUUCCUGGACCGACACUGACGCUGAGGCGCGAAAGCGUGGGGAGCAAACAGG